CCUACGGGAGGCAGCAGUGAGGAAUAUUGGUCAAUGGACGAGAGUCUGAACCAGCCAAGUAGCGUGAAGGAUGACUGCCCUAUGGGUUGUAAACUUCUUUUAUAUGGGAAUAAAAUGUUCCACGUGUGGGAUUUUGUAUGUACCAUAUGAAUAAGGAUCGGCUAACUCCGUGCCAGCAGCCGCGGUAAUACGGAGGAUCCGAGCGUUAUCCGGGUUUAUUGGGUUUAAAGGGAGCGUAGGUGGAUUGUUAAGUCAGUUGUGAAAGUUUGCGGCUCACCCGUAAAAUUGCAGUUGAAACUGGCAGUCUUGAGUACAGUAGAGGUGGGCGGAAUUCGUGGUGUAGCGGUGAAAUGCUUAGAUAUCACGAAGAACUCCGAUUGCGAAGGCAGUUCACUGGACUGCAACUGACACUGAGGCUCGAAAGUGUGGGUAUCAAACAGGAUUAGAUACCCUAGUAGUC
rnacentral:rRNA from 1 species